UACAGAGGGUGCGAGCGUUAAUCGGAAUUACUGGGCGUAAAGAGCUCGUAGGCGGCUUGUCACGUCGGAUGUGAAAGCCCGGGGCUUAACCCCCGGGUCUGCAUUCGAUACGGGCAGGCUAGAGUUCGGUAGGGGAGAUCGGAAUUCCUGGUGUAGCGGUGAAAUGCGCAGAUAUCAGGAGGAACACCGGUGGCGAAGGCGGGUCUCUGGGCCGAUACUGACGCUGAGGAGCGAAAAGCUGGGAG
rnacentral:rRNA from 1 species